rnacentral:sRNA from 1 species
GACCUAAACCAGAAGUGGCAAGGUCAUCAAAUCUACAACGAAGAACAGCUCGUCAUUGGGUACUCUUCGUUGUAGUUGUAGCUGGAAACGGCUACAGGGGCGCAAGCUCC